GGGGGGUAGCUCAGUUGGUUAGAGCGCAGGAUUCAUAACCCUGAGGUCACGGGUUCAACUCCCGUCUCCAACUACGA
rnacentral:tRNA from 1 species